UCGGUUACGUUCGGUUAUUUUCGUUGAGUUCCUCCGCCUGCUGUGAAAAUUGGAGGAUACUCCGAAAGAGAGGGUGUGAGAGGGCCAGAGGGACAGUCCUGUCACUGCACUAGCUCAAGCCGCGUGUGUACUCGCUUCCCUGCGGCGUCGGUCUUAUCUGUUACGUCACUUACGUCAUACGCUGCCGUUUUUUCACCGUUUUACCGAACGCAACGAAAGCGAAAUAAAGAAAGAAUUUAUAUAGUCGAAAUAUUCGAUUACCCCAAUCAGAGCCCACGUGCUUCCGUUGUUCUCUUAGGUUUUUUUUCCUGCUGUCAAUCGCAAAAUUACUAUAACCGCGAAUAUUUGUCGCACUUCGUGAACGAUCAUUAUCCUUCGUAUUUAUCAAUUGGAUUAUCAUGAGUUGACAUAGAUAUAAAAAAAUUCCGUCGUUGAUGUGAAUCAUGUAUUGUGUGACGUGACGUCUGCUGCACCGUGACUGAGUAAAAGUGAAAUAAUCCAGUGAAUCCUUCGAGCCCGAUUUUAACGAACAUUACUCCUCAUACCCCGGAAUCCGACGGAACCACAAACCGCAGCUUGGAGAGCCCUUCUUCGAAAAAGCAUCGGUAUAAUUUUGACACGAGAUUCUUCCUCUCUCCGACGAUCCUCGAAAAACUUAAUGCCCGUUAAGGAACGAACGACGAACCAUUAUGAAACAAGAGGCAACGCCACUCGAUGAACUUGAAAUCGGACCGAGUCGAAGGAAAUUAGUCGGAACGAUGCCAGAAGAAACCAAUACCAAGUACGAGUCAUCGAAGCGACAUGGAAAGGCGGAAGAAAUGACGAACGACUUCUUUUGAACGGGUUUUCUGAAAUAAAAAUAAAAAAAAAAAAAAAAAACAACAAAAAA